rnacentral:rRNA from 1 species
GACAGAGGGUGCAAACGUUGUUCGGAAUUACUGGGCGUAAAGCGCGUGUAGGCUGCUUGGCAAGUCGGAUGUGAAAGCCCUGGGCUCAACCCAGGAAGUGCAUUCGAAACUGCCGAGCUGGAGUCCUGGAGAGGAAGGCGGAAUUCUCGGUGUAGAGGUGAAAUUCGUAGAUAUCAGGAGGAACACCAGUGGCGAAGGCGGCUUCCUGGACACCAACUGACGCUGAGACGCGAAAGCGUGGGGAGCAAACAGG